rnacentral:rRNA from 1 species
UACGGAGGGGGCAAGCGUUGUUCGGAAUUAUUGGGCGUAAAGGGUAUGUAGGCGGCUGGAUAAGUCAGACGUGUAAGCCCACGGCUCAACCGUGGAAUUGCGUUUGAAACUAUUUAGCUUGAGUGCAGAAGAGGAAGGCGGAAUUCCCAGUGUAGCGGUGAAAUGCAUUGAUAUUGAGAAGAACAUCUGUGGCGAAGGCGGCUUUCUGGUCUGCUACUGACGCUGAGAUACGAAAGCCAGGGUAGCGAACGGG